AAACCUCUGGCAUGAGUGACAGGCCGCAAACUGGCAAUCACUUCAUAGCCACGCCCUAAAACACCCACUGCUUUAUCGUUGAUUUUAAAAUCAACAAGACCAUUAUUCAAAAUAAAUGAACAUCAUUGUGUGUUGCAAAA